rnacentral:rRNA from 1 species
GAUGAGCGCUGGCGGCGUGCCUAAUACAUGCAAGUCGAGCGAACGGACGAGGAGCUUGUGGGUUUGAUGUUAGCGGCGGACGGGAGUGUAACACGUGUAUAACCUACCUAUAAGACGGGUAUAAUCUCGGGAAACGGGAGCUAAUACCGGAUGAUCUCCUGAACCGUAGGGUUCAAAAGAGAAAGACGGCGUUUCGGGCAGUUCUAGAUGGUUCCGCGCUGCAUUAGCUAGUUGGUAAGGUAACGGCUUACCAAGGGUACGAUGCAUAGCCGACCUGAGAGGGUGAUCGGCCACACUGGGGCUGAGACGCGGUCCAGGCUCCUACGGGAGGCAGCAGUAGGGACUCUUCCGCAAUGGGCGAAAGCCUGACGGAGCGACGCCGCGUGAGUGAUGAAGGUCUUCGGGUCGUAAAACGCUGUUAUUAGGGAAGAACAUAUGUGUAAGUAACUGUGCGCAUCUUGACGGUACCUAAUCAGAAAGCCACGGCUAACUACGU